ensembl:lncRNA
GCACAGAAAAUCCUGUUGCCGUUACUGAAUUAAAUGAACAGUAGUACAUGGUAGUUUGGAGGUAACAGGAAGACAAGGAGUCAAAGAUGCUGUAGAGUAACGUUAGUAGAAUGAAGAAGAAAAUAUCCUGGGUCAUAUUCAUUAGGGCACACAGCAGAAAAACGUUUUGUAAAGGAAUAUUUAUAUUUCCCACAAUGUUCAGGUAAUUCCAUCCAUGUUUUCAUACAUUAUGUGCAAUAGUGAAUAUGAUCUAGAAGUGCUGUACACUGUGAAAGUCUGUCUAUGAUUUUGUAUUAUUGAUGUGUGCCACAGCUAGCCUGGUUUCCAACUGAUCUCCCUAUAUAUAGACAUUGUUGGUUUAAUUCAUUUAGUCACGGUUUACCUGGCUAAGCACUUGCUGCAACUCAUACAAACAGCCUGGAAGCUGUACUUGUUGUAAGCCUCCAAGAUAAUGUUCUGUUGUUAAUUACAAAGUAGAUAGAAGUAGCUUCUUAAGGACUAACACAGGAUCAGGAAUUCAUCAGUCAUGUACUAGUACUGGUUAGUGGCCAGGUGGGGAUGAUCUGGUGGCUGGGGGAAGUGGAGGAGCAACUGAACCAAACUCUUAAAAACUUCCAAAAUAGUAUAAUUGAGCUAUGAGCUUUGAGGAAUUUCAGCAUGUUGAAAUUGCUGAAAUCAUAAGUUCCCUUAAUAGCACCGGUUGGGAAUGGAACAAUUACAGAGAUCAAUACUUCUUUCUAAUUAUUGGGCUGGACAUCAUGAUGUAAAAUAUUCCCUUUUAGAACCAGAGUUUUCAAGCAGGUGGAGUAAGCAACAGAAUUCGUAUAAUGUCCAUUCUCAAUCCAAGCCGGAAAAGGGGUCACACUAAAUUAUAUAUCCCUACAAGAUAUCCCCCAAGCCCCUCAACUAUUAACUGUAUUAUUCUACAAGAAGAUUUUCUGACCUUUCCAACUUGUAAAAGAUACACUUUCAGUUGAAUAUGCACUUGCACUCUCAACUUCCCUGGUCUCUAAAAUGUUACAGUCACAUACUGUAAUGAUGCUGCCGCAGGUCUGUUUGGAAAAUGUGGAUGACAGCACUUCAGCAUUGUAAUUAUCAAUAAUGACCGGGGGGGGGGUUAUAAGUGAUACACACCAUAAUUUUUUUUGCAAUCGUGUUUCACCAAGCUUAUUUAGUUUGGUUAAUUUGUUUCACUCAGUAGAGACAUAUCUAUCCUAGUUUUGGAAUCUGAUUCUAUGAUAGCAGGAAGUAGCUUGAAGCGAUUAUGACAGGGACCUUGACCUUGAAUACAGUGUAUAAAAUCCUGGACUUAAACUGUUAC